rnacentral:rRNA from 1 species
UACGGAGGAUGCGAGCGUUAUCCGGAUUUAUUGGGUUUAAAGGGUGCGUAGGCGGGCUUUUAAGUCAGCGGUAAAAAUUCGGGGCUCAACCCCGUCCGGCCGUUGAAACUGGGGGUCUUGAGUGGGCGAGAAGAAGGCGGAAUGCGUGGUGUAGCGGUGAAAUGCAUAGAUAUCACGCAGAACUCCGAUUGCGAAGGCAGCAUACCGGCGCCCUACUGACGCUGAGGCACGAAAGCGUGGGUAUCGAACAGG